GCAGGGUCUCGGGGGGGUCCUCGGGUAGGGCCUAAUAUAGUGGUGGGGUCCCCAGGUAGGCCCCAGGGGUGAGGGGGCCUCUAAGUAGGGCUGGGGAGGGGAAUGGGGGUCCCAGGUGGGGCCUAGAGUAGUGGCUAGACCUGAGAGGGGGUCCUGGGCAGGGCCUUGGGGACAAGGGGGGGAUGUCCCCACGCAGGUCCCAGCAUUGAGGGGGGGGACCAUAAGCAGGGUCCGGGGGGGGGUUGCCCUGCCAGGCCCAUAGGUGAGGUGGGGGUCCGGCAGCAUGGCCCAGGGGCAACGCGGGGUGCCCCCAGCCCCAGCAGGACCCAGCCCAGCUGGCUGUCUUGUCAGGCAAGAGCCUUCCCAGAGCCUGGGGCAGCACUGGGGGAACUGGUGGGCGAGGGAGCCCCCAGCUCUCUCCCUGCUUCCUCCUGAAUUGCACCCAGCGAAAGAAGCCGCCUCUGAGUUCAUGCAUAAAAGAUCAAUGGAAAUGGUGUUGCCUGCUGAAGAUGGAUCCACCAGCAGAAGGUGCAGUCGGAGGUCUGGAGCUGUGCAUAGAGAAGUGAACUUCUCAUGAAUAAUGUACUGGCUGCCUGAUGAAUAUGCACGUUGGCUGGUGUGCCUGGGAGGGCUUCAUCAAUAAUUCAUGCCCAGAAAAUGUUCUUCACCUUGCAACUGUACAGGAACCGUAAAAAAAAAAAAUAUUUACCCUUUAAAGUGGGAGAGAAGAUGGCUUGAAAUCUGCCCACGGAAACGUGGAGUGAGAAAACUUCCUUGCAAAGAAAGAGUGGAAAUGCUCUGCGAGGUGGGAAAGGCAAGGAGAGAGCGUUUCCAUUCGGUGGAGCCGGGGUCUUCAGAAGGCACCUGCCUUCAAAUCCCUGGUGAUUGUUUUUAUUUGUGUUUUUAUCACUGAUUACCUCCUUUAAAGGCCUCUUGGGACUCCAAGAGGAAAAAAAACUCCAGUAAACCUCAAAAGCUCUGAACAAUCGGUUCAUGAGUCGUCUUGCGCCGUGCGGCCCCGAAAUGGAAACCUGGAAAAGUCGAGGCGGUUUCUGGAUGCCUGGCUGUGUGCCAGCAGACUUUGCUUCCCACGCUGGGCGCUUCUGAAAGGCAAAGGGGAUGGUCUGCAAAGAGCCUGGCGCGCCAUCGGCGCUGCACCGAUAACACGCAAAACAGAUAAAAGCGUAAAUGGCCGAGUCUGCAUUUUUGGGACUGGAAGCCUUUCCGUAGCAAAUCAGAUGUGCCAGAAACCGCAGGAUCAGGUGCAAACCCUCCUCUGACCCGUUGCUGCGUGUGAUUAGAGCAGCCAAGUCGGCGAAAGAAUCACGGACAAGAAACCUGCAAUAUUAAUUUGGUCACCUACCAAGAGUUCUCGCCGACAGAGCAAGCUCUGGAACAAAGGACACAUUCUUGCAGUCAGCAUUUUAGUUUUGCUGGCUAUUCCUGUCAAACAGUUAAUUAAAAUCCCCCCUCCCCUUCCAAACAAGCUAUUUUCCUGAAGAAAAAAAGCUUUUCAGCACUCAUGAAAUCAAUUCCUCUUCAAGAAAAAUUAAAAAUGCACUGUGCACCCUUUUCCCCACAUGCAUUAUAUUAACCAGUAUGCCAAUGUAUGUAAAUGAGUCUGAAAUUCAACUCGAUGGAAGUAUUUAAAUAUUCAUAAUCACAGUACAGCAUAUGCAAACCAGGCUCUCAGCAGACUUGCACUGCAGUCUCCAGUAACAGCUGUACUGGGGCAAAGAUGCUUUAACGUAUCUAAUUUGAUUAUUAAUGAAAACGUGGUCAGCGCUGGC